rnacentral:rRNA from 1 species
UACGAAGGGGGCUAGCGUUGCUCGGAAUCACUGGGCGUAAAGCGCACGUAGGCGGAUUGUUAAGUCAGGGGUGAAAUCCUGGAGCUCAACUCCAGAACUGCCUUUGAUACUGGCGAUCUUGAGUCCGGGAGAGGUGAGUGGAACUCCGAGUGUAGAGGUGAAAUUCGUAGAUAUUCGGAAGAACACCGGUGGCGAAGGCGGUCUGCUGGGCAGUUGCUGGACGCUGAUGCGCGACAGCGUGGGGAGCAACAGG